UAAAGUGGUGGAGAAUCACCAGGAAGUUGAAUAAAUAUCAUAGGAGUUGGGAUGAAGAAGUUAUCCCACUUUCAUAUAAGGUGAUUCCAGUUUGGGAAUAUCAUAGCUUCUUCGUCGUUACAAUCAAACCAGGAUGAAUCUCCUUGUAAGAAGCUUGAUUUGGAUACAUAAAGUGGUGGAGAAUCACCAGAAAGUUGAAUAAAUCUCAUAGGAAUUGGGAUGAAGCAGUUAUCCCACUUUCAAAUAAGGUGAUUCCAGUUUCCCAGUUUGGGAAUAGCAUAGCUUCUUCGUCGUUCCAAUCAAACCAGGAUGAAUCUCCUUGUAAGAAGCUUGAUUUGG
rnacentral:lncRNA from 1 species